CGUACAUCCAGAGAAUUUAGCAGAGAUGCUUUAGUGCCUUCGGGAACUCUGAGACAGGUGCUGCAUGGCUGUCGUCAGCUCGUGUUGUGAAAUGUUGGGUUAAGUCCCGNAACGAGCGCAACCCUUAUCCUUUGUUGCCAGCACGUAAUGGUGGGAACUCAAAGGAGACUGCCGGUGAUAAACCGGAGGAAGGUGGGGAUGACGUCAAGUCAUCAUGGCCCUUACGAGUAGGGCUACACACGUGCUACAAUGGCGCAUACAAAGAGAAGCGACCUCGCGAGAGCAAGCGGACCUCAUAAAGUGCGUCGUAGUCCGGAUUGGAGUCUGCAACUCGACUCCAUGAAGUCGGAAUCGCUAGUAAUCGUAAAUCAGAAUGUUACGGUGAAUACGUUCCCGGGCCUUGUACACACCGCCCGUCACACCAUGGGAGUGGGUUGCAAAAGAAGUAGAUAGCUUAACCUUCGGGAGGGCGUUUACCACUUUGUGAUUCAUGACUGGGGUGAAGUCGUAACAAGGUAGGCGUAGUGCU
rnacentral:rRNA from 1 species